AACGAACGCUGGCGGCAGGCUUAACACAUGCAAGUCGAACGGGCGUAGCGAUACGUCAGUGGCAGACGGGUGAGUAACACGUGGGAACCUUCCUAGGGGUACGGAACAACUCAGGGAAACUUGAGCUAAUACCGUAUACGUCCGUGAGGAGAAAGAUUUAUCGCCCUUAGACGGGCCCGCGUCGGAUUAGCUAGUUGGUGGGGUAACGGCCUACCAAGGCGACGAUCCGUAGCUGAUCUUAGAGGAUGAUCAGCCACACUGGGACUGAGACACGGCCCAGACUCCUACGGGAGGCAGCAGUGGGGAAUCUUGGACAAUGGGCGCAAGCCUGAUCCAGCCAUGCCGCGUGAGUGAAGAAGGCCUUAGGGUUGUAAAGCUCUUUUGCCAGGGACGAUAAUGACGGUACCUGGAGAAUAAGCCCCGGCAAACUUCGUGCCAGCAGCCGCCGUAA
rnacentral:rRNA from 1 species